AAAUUUAUGACUAAUUAGAUAAUUUUCUAUUUGCAAAUCAUGUGACUUCCGAAAUGUAAAGAUCAAAGUUUAAGUAGGAUAUGUAUGUGCUAAAAAUGGGAUCGAAGUAAUGGCAAAUGGAGUCAAAUAAAAGACUUGGAAUCUGGCUUUCGCAGGAAAUUUUCAUGUGGAUACGGAAAGUAUAUGGAUUAACUUAAGCUAAUUUGCAUCUGUCAAUUCCGGAAACAAAUCUAGGGCUCUAACACCACACGAGUAGCCUCAUAACAAGCUAUAUAGAGAUGACAUCCUUCUCAAUGGAAUUCGUACCUGUAAAAAGCGGUCCUAGAGCAAGAGUCAUGCAUAUACUUUUGGGAUAAAAGUCUUAGGAAAAAAGGAGAAGAAAGAAACAAUGGAGAGAGCUCUAAUCUGAAACGCUGGUGGACAAUCCUCCUCAUGCUCGUUUUAGCUUUUGGCUUAGCUUCUGCAACAACCGAGAGAGAAACCGGUCACAGAAGGCCGUGCCGAUGUUGGUGAAGUAGGUCGAGCAACCCCUUUUUCACCCUGAAAUGCCCGAUUCAGGGUGGAGCAGUUUAAGGACCUACUCAGGUCCAAAAGCAAUUGCUUGUAACCAUUAAAUAAAAUUCACAGAUGGAAUAAAGUUGCUGCGGAUUUAGUUGCGUGUGAUAGUCCCUUCUGCACCUAAUCCUAGUGGAAAUGUCAGCGUCGGAGAAGAAGGCGAAGCAACCAAUUUUCAUUGCCA
rnacentral:lncRNA from 1 species